rnacentral:sRNA from 1 species
UUAAAAGGCGGUUUGCCGUGUCUCUAGUUUGGGGGUGGUGCUUAUGUAUGUAAGUCACAAAAUCCAACGGAAAGGAGACAACAGGCGGUGUCUGUUUAUGAAGCGUUGUCACUAAUGAUUGCUUUUGGCGUGUUAGUAGCGACAAUCAUGAACAAUA